GAGCGGAGGAGCGCACCGCGAGCACGGGAGCCUCGGCCCGCCCACCGCCGGUUUCCAGGAAGCCAGCCGGCCCGGGAGCCCUGCCGCGGGCCAGCGACUCCGCGUUCCCGUCCGAGCUGCCCUGAUAAACUCCCAGCGCCCUUGCUGCGUGGCUCCCAACGCGGGGCACCCUCUCUGAGCCUCAGUUUCCUCAAGUGUGAAACUGUCCUCAGAGGUGGGCGUUCAGAACGGUAAAUGAAAUAAAACGGAGUGAGGUUAGUCCUGUACCGGCUCAUCACACACCUGCCCUGUGUCCACAGCGGAUCGCUACGGUGGUGGUGUCCUCAGGACUCCGGGCUGGCUCCAAGGAGCGGAGGCCUGGCCUCCACCCCGAUUCAGCCCUUCGAGAGAACUUCCCUGACCACUGUCCCGAACGGAGAAGCCUCCUUCCAAAGGACAAGGGGUACCAGGCUCUUCACCUGAGACGGGUGGGGCGCGACUGGAGAGGACCCUGCAGCACCUCCCCCGACUACAAGGGACUCGCACCUCUGUGGACCUGGCUCUCGGAGUGGACAGAAGCUGCCUUUGAGAGGCAGUGAGCUCCUGAUAAGAGAGGUGUGUCGCGGAGCUUGUCACCUGUGGCAGUGAUGGGAGGAAACACCCCGAAUGUGAGAGAGGCAGGGCUGGACUCGGAGUUCCCAAAACUUACCUCUGGAUAUAUCCCCUGAACAAGUGGAACAAUAUUUUUCCUUUAAACAACUCAUGUGUUUUAUUAAAAGGGUAAGUUUGCUUUGAA